rnacentral:rRNA from 1 species
UACGGAGGAUGCAAGCGUUAUCCGGAUUUAUUGGGUUUAAAGGGUGCGCAGGUGGUUAAAUAAGUCAGUGGUGAAAGUCUGCCGCUUAACGGUAGGAUUGCCAUUGAUACUGUUUAACUUGAGUUUGGAUGAGGUAGGCGGAAUGAGUAGUGUAGCGGUGAAAUGCAUAGAUAUUACUCAGAACACCGAUUGCGAAGGCAGCUUACUAAUCCACAACUGACACUGAGGCACGAAAGCGUGGGGAUCAAACAGGAUUAGA